CAAUAGCGUAUAUUAAAGUUGUUGCAGUUAAAAAGCUCGUAGUUGGAUUUCUGGUGGGAGCGAUCGGUCUGGCGCUUAGCGCGAGUACUUGCAUCGUCUCCGGCCAUCCUUGGGGAAAGUCUGUCUGGCAUUAAGUUGUCGGGCAGAGGAUCCUCAUCGUUUACUGUGAAAAAAUAGAGUGUUCAAAGCAGGCUUAUGCCGUUGAAUAUAUUAGCAUGGAAUAAUAAGAUAGGACUUUGGUACUAUUUUGUUGGUUUGCGCACCAAAGUAAUGAUUAAUAGGGACAGUUGGGGGUAUUCGUAUUCCGUUGUCAGAGGUGAAAUUCUUGGAUUUACGGAAGACGAACUACUGCGAAAGCAUUUACCAAGGAUGUUUUCAUUAA
rnacentral:rRNA from 1 species